rnacentral:lncRNA from 1 species
UCACAUGCAAAUUGUUCUUAUGCUCUACAAAUUUCAUUUCUAUAUUAAGUGUGGACCUAUUCAUGGUUCAAACAAUGAAUACCUCAUGUUCUUAUGUUAUUAAUUAGCUCUAAUUAUUUGCUUUUUAUUCUCCAAUUAAAGUAAAAGGAGAGACAAAGUUGUUGCUUUCUACUUUUUCAUCCUCAAUAACAUUCAAGACAAGAACAACCUAACACAUAAUUAUAUUUUGUAGAAUGGAUACCCCAUUCAAGGCUAGAAUGCAUUCCCGUUAUGGUCAUUGGGAUGCUUUUUCAAUAGUAGUACUUUUUCUUUUAACGUUUCGUUCCGAAUUAGUUUCCUACAACAAUGAGAGCAUAACAACAAUUACUCUAGGUAUGACCACUAAUGCUGCUUACAUAGAACCACCUCAAGAAGUUCCCAAAUGGCAUGGUCCAUCC